AACGAACGCUGGCGGCAUGCCUAACACAUGCCAGUCGAACGAGACCUUCGGGUCUAGUGGCGCACGGGUGCGUAACGCGUGGGAACCUGCCCUUAGGUUCGGAAUAACUCCCCGAAAGGGGUGCUAAUACCGGAUAAUGUCUUCGGACCAAAGAUUUAUCGCCUUUGGAUGGGCCCGCGUUGGAUUAGCUAGUUGGUAGGGUAAAAGCCUACCAAGGCUACGAUCCAUAGCUGGUCUGAGAGGAUGAUCAGCCACACUGGGACUGAGACACGGCCCAGACUCCUACGGGAGGCAGCAGUGGGGAAUAUUGGACAAUGGGCGAAAGCCUGAUCCAGCAAUGCCGCGUGAGUGAUGAAGGCCUUAGGGUUGUAAAGCUCUUUUACCCGGGAUGAUAAUGACAGUACCGGGAGAAUAAGCUCCGGCUAACUCCGUG
rnacentral:rRNA from 1 species